UGUCUUUCCUCAUUUAGUCACUCUCCCAGCCCUUAAGAUAGGGACUGUUUUUAUCAACAAACUACAGAAAAGGAAACUGAGCCCCACAGAAGGUCAUACUUUGCUCAGGAUUAUACAUCUGCUAAGUGGCAGGGCUGGGGCUUGAACAAGCCCAACCGAAUCCAAAGCCAGAUUUGAAAUUGCAGAAGGCCAUCCGCAAACUAGACUCCACAGUGGGAGGCAAAUGGGGACAAAUCCCGAGAGCCUUUAUUCCCAGGAAUACCUUUCCCAACCCUACCUAUCAUGUGGCCUCCAGGAAGCCCACCUUCACCAGCCCUCUCCACCCUGAACCCAGAUAGUUGUCCCUGUGGAUGUUUUCAUAAGACACGGGAUCUGCCCGCGAGAGGGUGAACAGUUUGAAGGAGGCCUGCACCUGGGCAGUGGUUUACCUGACUGGUCCUAGGACUCUGGUCAGCAGGGCUGCACACGCACUGCAAAGUCAGGAUGACAGGCCUGUAGAGUUGGCGCACCCACCCUCGCCCUGUGGACAGGGAUGGAAGGCUCCUCAAGGGUGCUUCUUGAUCAGGAUCACACAGGUGGUAAGUGUUACAGUCUGAACACAAGUCAAGAUCUGUGUUCCUCCCAAAACUGCUGUUACAACACAAAUAUUCACUUACUUUCUAUCCCAUGGGUCACAAACUAAAUUGUAAAGGUAGGCUACUUCCUACCUCUGAUCCUUAAGCUUGCUCUGAAUGGAGUGAGAGCCACUUUCAGCUUCAGAAACUCAGGGUAGGUCCUUUGUUCUCUUCUGAUUAGGUAAAUGGGCACAAUGCACAAUGGUGCUCACUGCCAGCAUGCACUCCUCACCCUACACACUCACAUGUGCUCAUGCGUAUAUCCUCAUAGCAUGCCCUCAUGACCUUACAGUGUAUGCACACAUAUAUCUUCACCCAUCACCACAUACAUGCAUUUGCUCUCAUUCUUAGAUCAAGAUUCUUAUAUGCCUCCUUCAGGGUAGGGGCUGUUAAACUUUCUUUCAUAGUUAUUUCAUGGUUCAUAACCAUGACUGAGGGACUUAAUGAAAUAUAGGCUUAGCAGAUCUAAGGUGGGUUCCAGGAAUAUACAUUUUUAAACACAUGCAUUCAGAUGCUUCUGAUGAGUAAUCUGUGCACCAUUCCUUAGGAAACAGUGUCUUGGCUAUGAGACCAUUAAAGGUAAGAAAUGUCGCAUACAUUUUUAUCUGCCCAGCACAGCUCACCAGGCUAGUCCAAGGCAGAUAGUAUUUGAUGAGAGUGGAUUUGAAUGACUCAGUGUCUUACUGUUCAUUUUUUCAAGAUAGGUCAGAUUUUCAGAAGGUAAUGAAGUCCUUGACCCUCUGGGAUCCAGUUGUCUGGCCUACUCUUUGUGAAGGAGUUUGAAAAAUCCCCAAGGACCCUCUUUUCAUUUGCUCCCUUCUGUUGAGCAGUCUAUUCCUAAAGCGCAUGUAAGAUGUCUCUCCUGCAGCACCAAGGCUCUCUUUCUUUAGGAAGUGCAUCCCAGACUGAUGACACUAGGAGAUCAAAGACCCUGAGGGGACUGGCUCUGCCACACACCUGCCUGGCACAGACGGCCUCUCUCCUCUUUCCUCGCUCAUGAGUUUCCCCACCUCCGUGGCUCUUCAUCACUGACCAUGAUCCCUGCUUGGUUUUGCUUACCCAAUCCGCUCCAGCACACGCCAUCUUGUAAUAAGCAGCCCACUGUUUCAGACUACCUAAAACCCUUGCAUUCUUCCAGGAGUAGAAUUCUCAGUAGUCCUUUCCCCUAGGGUGUGCCGUCUGUAAGGUCCCACCAGUAUCUCAGCAAAUCUUGAGGUGCCACUAAUGACCUCUGGCCAGGCAGAUAAUCUGAGUACAAGCGAAACUAAAUGAAAUUCCAUCCUGCACUCGUGAAGGAUUUGUAAAGCCCUUUGCUGAACUCCUGUUCUCCAGUGUUUAUGGCCUUUUUCUGAUCUGCCAGUCUAGCAACUGCACCAAAAAAGGGAAUGUGGUUCUUGGGGCUUUGAAGGAUGGUGCCCUCUUGGUGACGUCAUGCUGCUUCCUGUGUCACUAAGUGCUCACCAGGCUUCAGUUCUUUGGCCCACUGUCAAAUCCUUCGGAUAAGCUAUGGCAGGC